GUUACUUCUCGUGAUGCUGGCCUUGUUAUGACGCAGAAGAAGUACUCUCUGGAUUUGUUGCAGCGAGCUGGGAUGCUUAAGUGCAAACCGACGACUACACCCAUGUCUACCACUGAUAAGCUCAAUGCUGUUGAUGGUGUGCUUCUUUCUUCUUCUGAUGCGACAGAGUACAGGAGUAUUGUUGGUGGGCUCCAGUACUUGACGAUCACGCGACCAGACAUUUCCUAUGCUGUUAACCGAGUCUGCCAGUAUCCGCAGUCACCCCGUGACACUCAUUGGUCUGCUGUUAAGCGGAUUUUGCGCUAUAUUCGUUUCACGGUGGCUCAUGGUUUGCAUAUUCGGCCAUCUGACUCUGGUUGUCUUUCAGCAUAUUCUGAUGCAGACUGGGCUGGCAAUCCGGAUGACAGGCGAUCCACGGGGGGUUAUGCUGUCUUCUUUGGAUCUAACCUGAUUGCCUGGAGUGCUCGGAAACAGGCUACUGUCUCGCGUAGCAGUACUGAGGCUGAGUAUAAGGUUGUGGCCAAUGCCACAUCAGAGAUCAUCUGGGUACAGUCCUUGCUUCAGGAGUUAAGUAUACCCCAAUCACAGCCUCCUGUUCUUUGGUGUGAUAACAUCGGUGCUACAUACCUUUCUGCAAAUCCGGUAUUCCAUGCCCGAACGAAACACAUUGAAGUUGACUAUCACUUUGUGCGUGAACGUGUCUCUCAGAAGCAACUACAGAUCAAGUUUAUUUCUUCCAAGGAUCAACUUGCUGACAUCUUCACCAAGCCAUUGCCUUUGCCACAGUUUGAGACUUGCAGGCGCAAUCUU
rnacentral:rRNA from 1 species